GAGGGUAGAGCUCAGUGGUAGAGCGCAUGCUUAGCAUGCACAAGGUCCUGAGUUCAAUCCUCAGUACCUCCC
rnacentral:tRNA from 1 species